rnacentral:lncRNA from 1 species
GUUUAAUUAGUGAUUUGAUCACUAAUUAACUCAAUUUGAUUGAGUAAUUAUUUUUGAAUCAAGUCCAAUUGAAUUGGAUUCAGUUGGGUUUGACCCGAUUAGGUUAAGAGUUGACCUAAUCGUCGAGGUGGUUUGGUCCCUGAUUUGAUCAGGGAUUGGGCUUAGUCAAUUCUUGAUUUGAUUAAGAUUUUAUUGAGCCUAAUUAAGCCUAAUUGUGUU